GAUGAACGCUGGCGGCGUGCCUAAUACAUGCAAGUCGAGCGAACAGACGAGGAGCUUGCUCCUCUGACGUUAGCGGCGGACGGGUGAGUAACACGUGGAUAACCUACCUAUAAGACUGGGAUAACUUCGGGAAACCGGAGCUAAUACCGGAUAACAUGUUGAACCGCAUGGUUCAACAGUGAAAGACGGUCUUGCUGUCACUUAUAGAUGGAUCCGCGCCGCAUUAGCUAGUUGGUAAGGUAACGGCUUACCAAGGCAACGAUGCGUAGCCGACCUGAGAGGGUGAUCGGCCACACUGGAACUGAGACACGGUCCAGACGCCUACGGGAGGCAGCAGUAGGGAAUCUUCCGCAAUGGGCGAAAGCCUGACGGAGCAACGCCGCGUGAGUGAUGAAGGUCUUCGGAUCGUAAAACUCUGUUAUUAGGGAAGAACAAAUGUGUAAGUAACUAUGCACGUCUUGACGGUACCUAAUCAGAAAGCCACGGCUAACUACGUG
rnacentral:rRNA from 1 species